rnacentral:rRNA from 1 species
AUUGAACACUGGCGGCAGGCUUAACACAUGCAAGUCGAGCGGGGUGAUGGUGCUUGCACUAUCACUUAGCGGCGGACGGGUGAGUAAUGCUUAGGAAUCUGCCUAUUAGUGGGGGACAACAUCUCGAAAGGGAUGCUAAUACCGCAUACGUCCUACGGGAGAAAGCAGGGGAUCACUUGUGACCUUGCGCUAAUAGAUGAGCCUAAGUCGGAUUAGCUAGUUGGUGGGGUAAAGGCCUACCAAGGCGACGAUCUGUAGCGGGUCUGAGAGGAUGAUCCGCCACACUGGGACUGAGACACGGCCCAGACUCCUACGGGAGGCAGCAGAGGGGAAUAUUGGACAAUGGGGGGAACCCUGAUCCAGCCAUGCCGCGUGUGUGAAGAAGGCCUUAUGGUUGUAAAGCACUUUAAGCGAGGAGGAGGCUCUUUUGGUUAAUACCCAAGAUGAGUGGACGUUACUCGCAGAAUAAGCACCGGCUAACUCUGUGCCAGCCGCCGCGGUAA